AGUGAACGCUGGCGGCGUGCCUAAUACAUGCAAGUCGAACGGAGUGGCGCACGGGCGAGUAAUGUAUAGCUAAUCUGCCCUACACUAGAGGACAACAGUUGGAAACGACUGAUAAUACUCUAUAGUGUAGGAUGAGGCAAUAUUGUAUCAGCUAGUUGGUGAGGUAAUGGCUCACCAAGGUUAUGACGCAUAACUGGUCUGAGAGGAUGAUGAGUCAAACUGGAACGGAGAAACGAGCCAGACUCCUACGGGAGGCAGCAGUAGGGAAUAUUGGUCAAUGGGGGAAUCCCUGAAGCAGCAACGCCGCGUGGAGGAUGACACUUUUCGGGGCGUAAACUCCUUUUGUUAGGGAAGCGGUACCUAACGAAUAAGCACCGGCUAACUCCGUGUCAGCAGCCGCGGUAAUAC
rnacentral:rRNA from 1 species